GAGCUACUCCCUCCGUCCGAAAAAGCUUGUCUCUCAAAUGAGUGUAUCUAGCAUCAAAUUAGUGCUAGAUACAUCCAUUUGAGAGACAAGAUUGGAAUAAGCUUUUUCGGACGAAGGAAAUACUUA
rfam:Triticum aestivum genome assembly, contig: Triticum_aestivum_CS42_TGACv1_scaffold_557545_7AL